CAGACCUCUAAUCGGAAAAGACUACCCGCUGAGUUUAAGCAUAUCACUAAGCGGGAGGAAA
rnacentral:ncRNA from 7 species